GGGGCCGUAGUCUAGCUUGGUAGGAUGCCUGGCUUGGGCCCAGGUGGUCCCGGGUUCAAAUCCCGGCGGCCCCA
rnacentral:tRNA from 2 species